rnacentral:rRNA from 1 species
UACGAAGGGGGCUAGCGUUGCUCGGAUUGACUGGGCGUAAAGGGCGCGUGAGGCGGUUCGUACAGUCAAGACGUGAAAUUCCUGGGCUCAACCUGGGGCUGCGUUUGAUACGUGCGGACUUGAGUGCGGAAGAGGGUCGUGGAAUUCCCGAGUGUAGAGGUGAAAUUCGUAGAUAUUGGGAAGAACACCGGUGGCGAAGGCGGCGACCUGGUCCGAUACUG